UGCAUGCAGAAAACACAUAAGUAUUCAACAAAAAAAAAUCACCUCAAAUUUGAAGCAUUUAGUUGGAACUCUCCAUUGAGAAAGAUGUCCAGUGCAGAGAGAGGCCAAAUGGUACAAAUACCUGGCUUAUGGGAGGUAUUCCCCAUUCAUGCAUCAGACAAAGUGAAAGAUGCCUCAGUCCAAUAUGUAGAUCGCAAAGAGCCGUCUGUUGUCCAA
rnacentral:lncRNA from 1 species